CCUGCCCCCUCCCCCCGCCGCCGCGUCGCCGCUCGCUCCGGGCGCCUCCUGCUCUGCACUUACGCGCUCGGCAGCUGCGGGGAGCCCGGCAGCCAAGCUCUCCGGCGCGCCGCCCGCCGAGCCACCACGGCCGAGGGCCGGCUGUGGGGCGCCGUGGUCCCUGGCGGGCGCGCCCAAAGAGCAGGCGGCGAUGCGGGCGCCGACCCGGGCUGCGGGGCGCCCAAGCUGCCGCGGCUGCGCCCCGGUUCCAGGAGGGACCGCGUAGCUCGCGGGAGGACCAUGGCGUCCCCGGCGCUGGCGGCGGCGCUGGCGGCGGCUGCGGCGGCGGCGGGCCCCAAUGUGAGCGGCGCCGGCGAGGGGGGCAGCGGCGGGGGCGCCAACGCCUCAGGGGCUACCUGGGGGCCGCCGCCCGGCCAGUACUCGGCGGGCGCCGUGGCGGGGCUGGCGGCCGUGGUGGGCUUCCUCAUCGUCUUCACCGUGGUGGGCAACGUGCUGGUGGUGAUUGCCGUGCUGACUAGCCGGGCGCUGCGCGCGCCACAGAACCUCUUCUUGGUGUCGCUGGCCUCGGCUGACAUCCUGGUGGCCACACUGGUCAUGCCCUUCUCGCUGGCCAACGAGCUCAUGGCCUACUGGUACUUUGGGCAGGUGUGGUGCGGUGUGUACCUGGCGCUCGAUGUGCUCUUCUGCACCUCGUCCAUCGUGCACCUGUGCGCCAUCAGCCUGGACCGCUACUGGUCUGUGACGCAGGCCGUCGAGUACAACCUGAAGCGCACGCCGCGCCGCGUCAAGGCCACCAUCGUGGCAGUGUGGCUCAUCUCGGCGGUCAUCUCCUUCCCGCCGCUCGUCUCGCUCUACCGCCAGCCCGACGGCGCCGCCUAUCCGCAGUGCGGCCUCAACGACGAGACCUGGUACAUCCUGUCCUCCUGCAUCGGCUCCUUCUUCGCGCCCUGCCUCAUCAUGGGCCUGGUCUACGCGCGCAUCUACCGUGUGGCCAAGCUGCGCACGCGCACGCUCAGCGAGAAGCGCGCUCCCGCGGGCCCCGACGGCGCGUCUCCGACCACGGAGAACGGGCUGGGCGCGGCGACGGGCGCGGGCGAGAACGGGCACUGCGCGCCCCCGCGCGCCGACGUGGAGCCGGACGAAAGCAGCCGCGGCGCGAGAGCGGCGGCGCCGGGCGCGCUGCGGCGGGCGCGCGGCGGCGCGCGGCGCCGAGGGGGCGCGGGCGGCGCCGACGGGCCGGGACCGGGGCCAGCGGCAGGGGCAACCGAGCCGGGGGCGCUGGCGGCCGCCAGGUCCCCGGGGCCGGGUGGGCGCCUGUCGCGCGCCAGCUCGCGCUCCGUCGAGUUCUUCCUGUCGCGCCGGCGCCGGGCGCGCAGCAGCGUGUGCCGCCGCAAGGUGGCCCAGGCGCGCGAGAAGCGCUUCACCUUCGUGCUGGCCGUGGUCAUGGGUGUGUUCGUGCUCUGCUGGUUCCCCUUCUUCUUCAGCUACAGCCUGUACGGCAUCUGCCGCGAGGCCUGCCAGGUGCCUGGCCCGCUCUUCAAGUUCUUCUUCUGGAUCGGCUACUGCAACAGUUCGCUCAACCCGGUCAUCUACACCGUCUUCAACCAGGACUUCCGGCGCUCCUUCAAGCACAUCCUCUUCCGACGGAGGAGAAGGGGCUUUAGGCAGUGACCUGUGCCCCCUCGCCCAGCGAUCCUGGCCGCUCCAAGCAGUGGUUGGGCGGAGCAGGUGGCAGGCAGAGCAGCUUACCCAGAGACCCUGGAUGGAUUGGCCUCCGGGGACAGGAGAAGAUGUGGCCUGGCCGAGAGACAUCUGGGCUUCCCGGGAGGGGGUAGGAGAAAGGGGGACAGACCCCUUUGCCUUCCCGCCUCAGCAAGGGGCUGCUUCUAGGGCUCCAGCCUGGAUCCAGCCCUGGGCCCAGCGGAGGUGUGGCUGUGAGGUCAGGCUGUUAGACUGCAGUGGUGGUCGCAGCCCCCCAAGUGGAAUUCACCUUCCAGGGUUGUCGCCGGAGCUUCAGCCGACAGCUGGUCGCCACUCGAUCAUCACUGCUGCCUGGAGAGACUUUCUUUUCAGCUGGGUAAACAGAGACAGAAGCCCGGCUUCUCACCCUGCCUGCGCAGGGACGCGCUCGUCAGUGGGAAGAGAAGGUGCUGACGUCUGCCCGAGGGUGCGUGAGCCGCGGCCCCACACGCUGGGCCUGGGACCAUCUGCCGGGGGACGUCUCUAGGGUACAGAGCAGGCCCCAGCACGCUGUCCACCUGGCCCCCACAGGCCCGCCCAUCCCCGAGGAGGCCGCCCUCACAGACUAGGCCUUGGCCUGUUUUGUCUCUCCACGCCAACCUCACGGAGCCAGAGACGUUUGUUGUCAACCCCUGUCUAUGGUUGAGGAAACUGAGGCCCGGGGUGGCUGUGUGGCCCAGACCCCCAGCUGUGAGCCCAGGAAGGUCCAGCGGCAGAGCUGGGCUCUGAGCCCAGCCCUCCAUGUACCCUUGGAGUUAGUCCCCCAAGAGCCAGUGUCAUGGGUUACAUGGGACAUCCCUGGGCCUCGCCACGGGCAGUGUCCGGCACAGCCGCUGCCCUGCUCGGGGCUUCCCCUCCGGCUCCUGGAGACUUCCGGCAAAAUGAAGUGCAGCAACCUCGGGAGCCGCGGGAGGCCUGGCCCGCCACGUGAGGGCACGCCGGCUUGCCCGCCGUCCUUCUCGGGCUUGCGUGUACCUGGCCCCGGCGUGUUGCCGAUGCGGUUCCUGCCACAUAUAUGUAGACGUACGUAUGUUUAAAUUAGCUCCUGCAUUUUAAUUCAGUUGCUGAGUUUCUACAGAGAAUGGGGAAAAGGAUUAAUCCAAAUAUUCUGUUGCAGCUCAGUAUGGAAUUCAAGAGGAAAUAUUCCUCAGAGCAGCAGAAAUGUUCACGCUUUAUGGAAGCCGCUCCAAUCUGUGGGUCCUGCCCCCGGCUCCGGGGGUGGGGGCUGCGGGUGGGGAACACGUUGCCGUGGCACUUGCUGGCGAGGAAGCCGCCCCUCCCGCUGUGCUGGCAGCCGGCUGUAUUUUUAUAUCGCAUCCAUCAGCGGGGCUCACAUACUCCAGUGCAGCGUCGGAUCAAAACAUGCGGCGCCUGCAGGCUCGUCUUGAGUCUGGUUGGACUGCCACGGCCCUUGCCGAGCCAAGUCCCCACCUCUCGUCAGCACUGUGGCCCCCACGUGCAGGGGGUAGGGGCAGAGGAGCGCCAGGGGCACCUGUUCCCUCAUCAGCCUGGAGCCUCCCAGGCGGGGAUGGGCGUCUCUACCUGCCUCGGCACCUGAGGGUAUUAGGUGGCGUGGGGCAGAGGCCAGAGGAAUAGAGGAGGCGAGAGGGAGGUCUCCCAUCCCGAGGUUCCCGUAUCCCUACUCUGGGUCUGCCGUCAGUGGUCUGGGGACCUCGGGCCCCCCGCACACACCCCCAUCCUGAGGGUCUGUUGCGAGCAUCGGGUGCUGCAGGGGUGGAGGAGGAAGGCAGACCUGUCCAGUCUGCGUGGGAGGGUCCACCCCCUGUGUGACCGAGAGUGUAAAUGGACCACACAUUCUUUCCUGGCUGGGACCGGCGGGGUGUGAAAGGGCCCCACUGCAGCAGGGCACAGCGCCAUCCCUCUGAAAUCUGCCUGGGAAGCAGAGGCAACUGCAAACUCUGGGCCAAAAGAAGGCCUUGGGGACCAGAAAUGUAUUUCUUUCCUGCCAAGAGGAUUUUCACUGCUCCCAAUAAAAGCCUCAGGUGCAAAGGAUCAUUAUGGUCACGAUAAGAAUUGCCAUGCAAGGCAGAGUGGGAGCACUGGCCCAGAAGGCCGGGUUAAAGGUGCCCUGCCCUCGUGUCAGCACAAAAUGUGCCAGAGCUGCCUGGCAGCCAUGGAGAAAAAGGAAACAAGACACAGACUCUCUCUCACUCCUGAUGCAAGGUUAACAGGAAAACCUUUAGAGCACGGGGUGGGCAGCUGGAGCCACCAGAAAGACCACCAAUCCCACAGGCCUCCACAGCAGGGGGACUCUAUCUCCAGGGGAGGGCUUUAUAGACCAGAGAGCCCCAGAGGGGCAUUCAUAACACAGACCCUGUUGGGGUGGGGAAGUGGCCAAACACGGUGGUUCAGGUCCAGCCCCUGCCGCCAACUGUACCAGAUUGGGCCAUUUAUCAUUCAUUGAGCAACACUCCCCUCAGUGCCCCCCACCAGGCCCUGGCUCUGAGCUGGGGAGGCUGCGGACGGUGGGGGGGACACAGCCAGUGUGUGCGACUGUGGCCCCGCUGUGCUGCCCCCGGCCUGCCCACCCUGGUGUAGAAUGAGCCUUUGGGGUCACAAAGCCUCCCGCCAUAAGGCCCCUUGACCCAGGAGAAGCCCCCCACCCUCCUAGGGGCUCCCGGAUGUGUCCUGAUCAGCCCUGCCCCCUGCCCUCCCAUGUCAUGCUCUGGCUCGGCCAUGCCCCAUGCCUUUGCCAAUUCAUGCUCUGCCCAGCGCCAGGAAUGCCCCUUUCACCUGUGUUCACCUGACCAGGUCUCACCUCCAGAAAGCCGUGUGGAGCCUCCAACCCUGCCCUCCCCCGCCAUGGGUCCCCAAGUCUGGGGGAGGCCCUGUCCCAUCUACCCAUGGGGGCCCAGCGGGGGCACAGGGACAAUGUGUCAUCUUGGCCAGGCAGCAGCCUUCCUCCGGGUGCAGAGCCACCUACCAUCUCCCACAAGCAGCCCCCAAAGGAUCAUCCGGGACCUCCACACCCAAGAGCCACACUUGCCGCACCCACUGUGCUGGGACCUUGGA